rnacentral:rRNA from 1 species
AAUGAACGUUGGCGGCAUGGAUUAGGCAUGCAAGUCGAGCGUGAUAGGUUUGGUGCUUGCAUUAAACCUUGAAAGCGGCGAAAGGGACAGUAACGCGUAGAUACCUACCUCCAGGUCCGGGAUAGCGGCGGGAAACUGCCGGUAAUACCGGAUAAUGUCUUCGGACCACCGGUGUGAUUCCGCGUGGAGACGGAUCUGCGUCCUAUUAGCUAGUUGGUGGGGUAAUGGCCGACGAAGGCGAUGAUGGGUAGCGGGCGUGAGAGAGGGGCCAGCGUCACUGGGAGUGAGACACUGCCCAGACACCUACGGGUGGCUGCAGUCGAGAAUCUUCGGCAAUGGGCGCAAGCCUGACCGAGCGACGCCGCGUGCGGGAUGAAGGCCUUCGGGUUGUAAACCGCUGUCGGAGAGGCGGAAAUCUCUAGGGGUUCUCACCUAGAGUUGACCUAAUCUCGGAGGAAGUCCGGGCUAAGUUCGUGCCAGCCGCCGCUGUAAAAC